rnacentral:rRNA from 1 species
UCGAGAAUUUUUCACAAUGGGCGAAAGCCUGAUGGAGCGACGCCGCGUGGGGGAUGAAUGGCUUCGGCCCGUAAACCCCUGUCAUUCGCGAUCAAACCUGGCUAUUUAAAAGAUGGCCAGCUGAUAGUAGCGGAAGAGGAAGGGACGGCUAACUCUGUGCCAGCAGCCGCGGUAAUACAGAGGUCCCAAGCGUUGUUCGGAUUCACUGGGCGUAAAGGGUGCGUAGGUGGUGAGGCAAGUCGGAUGUGAAAGCUCGGAGCUCAACUCCGAAAUGGCAUUGGAAACUGCCUUGCUCGAGGGUCGGAGGNGGGACUGGAAUUCUCGGUGUAGCAGUGAAAUGCGUAGAUAUCGAGAGGAACACCAGUGGCGAAGGCGAGUCCCUGGACGACUCCUGACACUGAGGCACGAAAGCUAGGGGAGCAAAC